rnacentral:rRNA from 1 species
GGGGGGCCAGGGACAUGGAGCGGCAUGGCGCUGCGUGUGUCGCAGUGCGUCUUCGCCGCCGCGUCCGCCGCCGCCAUGUCCUCCGCCUUCGGCUCCCUCAACUACAGCGCCUACUUCUACCUGGAUACAGCGUUGACCCUGCAGUUUCUGUGGAGUAUGGGCUUUGCUUGCCGGGACAUCUUUGCUUUGAGGAACAAGAAGGAUCUUCACACCGCCCCGGAACUUAUACUGAUCUUUAAUAUCGGCGACUGGGUCCUGGCGAUUCUCAUGUUCUGGGCAUCCUGCGCCGCGGCCAGCGUGACGAUCUUCUUCAGGAAGGAUGUGAAGUUCUGCGCGGAGUACUGGCGGCUGCCCUGCACCCAGUUCGAGCUUUCGGUCGCCCUGGCGUUCAUCACGUGGUUGCUGCAGGCCGCGUCUUCUUUCUCCGGGUUCUGGCUUCUCGUUUCCUUGCUCUAG